AGUAAAAGUCGUAACAAGGUCUCCGUAGGUGAACCUGCGGAGGGAUCAUUACAAGUGACCCCGGUUUACCACCGGGAUGUUCAUAACCCUUUGUUGUCCGACUCUGUUGCCUCCGGGGCGACCCUGCCUUCGGGCGGGGGCUCCGGGUGGACACUUCAAACUCUUGCGUAACUUUGCAGUCUGAGUAAACUUAAUUAAUAAAUUAAAACUUUUAACAACGGAUCUCUUGGUUCUGGCAUCGAUGAAGAACGCAGCGAAAUGCGAUAAGUAAUGUGAAUUGCAGAAUUCAGUGAAUCAUCGAAUCUUUGAACGCACAUUGCGCCCCCUGGUAUUCCGGGGGGCAUGCCUGUUCGAGCGUCAUUUCACCACUCAAGCCUCGCUUGGUAUUGGGCAACGCGGUCCGCCGCGUGCCUCAAAUCGACCGGCUGGGUCUUCUGUCCCCUAAGCGUUGUGGAAACUAUUCGCUAAAGGGUGCUCGGGAGGCUACGCCGUAAAACAACCCCAUUUCUAAGGUUGACCUCGGAUCAGGUAGGGAUACCCGCUGAACUUAAGCAUAUCAAUAAGCGGAGGAAAAGAAACCAACAGGGAUUGCCCCAGUAACG
rnacentral:rRNA from 1 species